AUUGAACGCUGGCGGCAGGCUUAACACAUGCAAGUCGAGCGGAGAGAGGUGGCUUGCUACUGCUCUUAGCGGCGGACGGGUGAGUAAUGCUUAGGAAUCUGCCUAUUAGUGGGGGACAACAUUUCGAAAGGAAUGCUAAUACCGCAUACGUCCUACGGGAGAAAGCAGGGGAUCUUUGGACCUUGCGCUAAUAGAUGAGCCUAAGUCGGAUUAGCUAGUUGGUGGGGUAAAGGCCUACAAAGGCGACGAUCUGUAGCGGGCCUGAGAGGAUGAUCCGCCACACGGGGACUGAGACACGGCCCAGACUCCUACGGGAGGCAGCAGUGGGGAAUAUUGGACAAGGGGCGCAAGCCUGAUCCAGCCAUGCCGCGUGUGUGAAGAAGGCCUUAUGGUUGUAAAGCACUUUAAGCGAGGAGGAGGCUACUUUAGUUAAUACCUAGAGAUAGUGGACGUUACUCGCAGAAUAAGCACCGGCUAACUCUGUGCCAGCCGCCGCAGUAAAAC
rnacentral:rRNA from 1 species